UGCCAGCAGCCGCGGUAAUACGGAGGGUGCGAGCGUUAAUCGGAAUAACUGGGCGUAAAGGGCACGCAGGCGGUGACUUAAGUGAGGUGUGAAAGCCCCGGGCUUAACCUGGGAAUUGCAUUUCAUACUGGGUCGCUAGAGUACUUUAGGGAGGGGUAGAAUUCCACGUGUAGCGGUGAAAUGYGUAGAGAUGUGGAGGAAUACCGAAGGCGAAGGCAGCCCCUUGGGAAUGUACUGACGCUCAUGUGCGAAAGCGUGGGGAGCAAACAGGAUUAGAUACCCUGGUAGUCCACGCUGUAAACGAUGUCGAUUUGGGGGUUGAACUUUAGGUUUGGCGCCCGUAGCUAACGUGAUAAAUCGACCGCCUGGGGAGUACGGCCGCAAGGUUAAAACUCAAAUGAAUUGACGGGGGCCCGCACAAGCGGUGGAGCAUGUGGUUUAAUUCGAUGCAACGCGAAGAACCUUACCUACUCUUGACAUCCAGAGAACAUUC
rnacentral:rRNA from 1 species